GAAGUCGGAAUCGCUAGUAAUCGCAGGUCAGAAUACUGCGGUGAAUACGUUCCCGGGCCUUGUACGCACCGCCCGUCACACCAUGGGAGUUGGAUCUACCCGAAGAUUGUGAGCUAACUUCGGAGGCAGCAAGCCACGGUAGGUUCAGCGACUGGGGUGAAGUCGGAACAAGGUAGCCGUAGGGGAACCUGCGGCUGGAUCAC
rnacentral:rRNA from 1 species